rnacentral:rRNA from 1 species
GGCGGACGGGUGAGUAACGCGUAAGGAACUUGCCUCUUGGACUGGGACAACUGUUGGAAACGACAGCUAAUACCGGAUAUUAUGAGAUUCUCGCAUGAGAAACUUAUGAAAGCUAUAUGCGCCAAGAGAGAGCCUUGCGUUCCAUUAGCUAGUUGGUGGGGUAACGGCCCACCAAGGCGACGAUGGAUAGCCGGCCUGAGAGGGUGAACGGCCACAAGGGGACUGAGACACGGCCCUUACUCCUACGGGAGGCAGCAGUGGGGAAUAUUGGACAAUGGGCCACAAGCCUGAUCCAGCAAUUCUGUGUGCACGAUGAAGGUCUUCGGAUUGUAAAGUGCUUUCAGUUGGGAAGAAGAAAGUGACGGUACCAACAGAAGAAGCGACGGCUAAAUACGUGCCAGCAGCCGCGGUAAUACGUAUGUCGCAAGCGUUAUCCGGAUUUAUUGGGCGUAAAGCGCGUCUAGGCGGAAAAAUAAGUCUGAUGUUAAAAUGCGGGGCUCAACUCCGUAUUGCGUUGGAAACUGUUUUUCUAGAGUACUGGA